AGCGAACGCUGGCGGCAGGCCUAACACAUGCAAGUCGAACGAACUCUUCGGAGUUAGUGGCGGACGGGUGAGUAACACGUGGGAACGUGCCUUUAGGUUCGGAAUAACUCAGGGAAACUUGUGCUAAUACCGAAUGUGCCCUUCGGGGGAAAGAUUUAUCGCCUUUAGAGCGGCCCGCGUCUGAUUAGCUAGUUGGUAAGGUAAAGGCUCACCAAGGCGACGAUCAGUAGCUGGUCUGAGAGGAUGAUCAGCCACAUUGGGACUGAGACACGGCCCAAACUCCUACGGGAGGCAGCAGUGGGGAAUCUUGCGCAAUGGGCGAAAGCCUGACGCAGCCGUGCCGCGUGAAUGAUGAAGGUCUUAGGAUUGUAAAAUUCUUUCACCGGGGACGAUAAUGACGGUACCCGGAGAAGAAGCCCCGGCUAACUUCGUGCCAGCCGCCGCGGUAA
rnacentral:rRNA from 1 species